rnacentral:rRNA from 1 species
CCUACGGGAGGCUGCAGUGAGGAAUAUUGGUCAAUGGCCGUAAGGCUGAACCAGCCAAGUAGCGUGAGGGAAGACUGCCCUAUGGGUUGUAAACCUCUUUUAUGCGGGGAUAAAGGUGUCUACGUGUGGAUGUUUGCAGGUACCGCAUGAUUAAGGACGGGCUAAUUCCGCGCCAGCAGCCGCGGUAAUACGGAAGGUCCGGGCGUUAUCCGGAUUUAUUGGGCUUAAAGGGUGCGUAGGACGGUCUUUAAGCGUGCCGUGAAAUUUUGUGGCUCAACCAUGGGAGUGCGGUGCAAACUGGGGAGCUUGAGUGCGGGGGAGGCAGGCGGAAUGCGUGGUGUAGCGGUGAAAUGCUUAGAUAUCACGAAGAACCCCGAUUGCGAAGGCAGCCUGCCGCAGCGUAACUGACGCUGAGGCUCGAAAGCGCGGGUAUCGAACAGGAUUAGAUACCCCAGUAGUC